AUUGAACGCUGGCGGCAGGCCUAACACAUGCAAGUCGAGCGGCAGCGGAAAAGUAGCUUGCUACUUUUGCCGGCGAGCGGCGGACGGGUGAGUAAUGCCUGGGGAUCUGCCCAGUCGAGGGGGAUAACUACUGGAAACGGUAGCUAAUACCGCAUACGCCCUACGGGGGAAAGCAGGGGACCUUCGGGCCUUGCGCGAUUGGAUGAACCCAGGUGGGAUUAGCUAGUUGGUGAGGUAAUAGCUCACCAAGGCGACGAUCCCUAGCUGGUCUGAGAGGCUGAACAGCCACCCGGGAACUGAGACACGGUCCAGACUCCUACGGGAGGCAGCAGUGGGGAAUAUUGCACAAUGGGGGAAACCCUGAUGCAGCCAUGCCGCGUGUGUGAAGAAGGCCUUCGGGUUGUAAAGCACUAUCAGCGAGGAGGAAAGGUCAGUAGCUAAUAUCUGCUGGCUGUGACGUUACUCGCAGAAGAAGCACCGGCUAACUCCGUGCCAGCAGCCGCCGUAA
rnacentral:rRNA from 1 species